GGGGCAUAUUUUUGCGUACAUUUCAGUAUUUUUUAAGCGAGUAAAUUUAUGCAUAUUUCGGUGAAUAAACUUUCAGGUUCUGGCCCUACUAAUUAGGAAUAUAUUUUGUAUCAUGUCAACAUGAUAGCUGGUUGCAAAAUCUAAGAGAUUAGUUCCAUUACAAUAAAAGGAACUAUUCAGUGUAGCCAAGGACAGAAACCAUAUUGCAAUGUUCAUUUCCAACUUUCGAUAGAAGAGGAAUAUAAAAAAGAAGACUCACGGAUUAGUAUUGAAGUUACCAUGUACGUAAUCUUAGGCGUGCUCCCCGUGAUUUUUCAUGGACCGAAAAGCCCUAUACCUCAAUAUUAUUGUCCAUAUAUUUGUCAUAAAUGUACUUAAAUUACCAAAGUCAAUUUUAGAUAAUAUUUUCAAAGCGAUUUUGAAAAAAAUUAAAUAAUUCAUUAUGUGCACUCUGUAGUUGAAGGUUUAUAUCUACAGUAUAGUUAGUGUUUCGCAAACUUUUUGGUUCCUUUUUUAAAUUAAGGUUUUUUUAAGGCGCUCUCGCAAUUCAUUGCAAUCAAAAACCUAUUCUGAUCGGAGUAGUAUUAAUCGCAGUGUUUAUCUCACUGUAUAGCUAAGGUAACCAAGGUAGGUAAAUAAAAUUAAUGAAUCAAUAAUUAUUGUCAGUUUUUGGUAGGUACUCAUUCUGUAAAUAGUAUUGUUAGACCAAACAGAAAGGCUUGAAAAUUUAACAGGAGGUUCAUAAUAAGUCGUACUUUGUAGUGAAACCAAAAAUCAAUUGAGUUAAUGUAGAAUUUUUUUAUAAGAAUUUUAGCAUCAAAUUUUGACGAAAAUCUUAAAUGAUUACUACGACCAAUCAAAAUAUGUAUAACCAAACUAUGCUCAGAAUCGUUUAUCGUCAGCAAAGAUUAAUUGUUGCGUAUAGAUAUAUAUUUAAUUUCCCUCUUUAUCCUAUUUUCUCAACUUCUCAUAUAUAAUAGU